GUCCCGUUCGUCUAGCCAGGUCCAGGACACUGGAUUUUCAUUCCAGCGACAGGGGUUCGAAUCCCCUACGGGACGCCA
rnacentral:tRNA from 5 species